rnacentral:misc_RNA from 1 species
UUUACUUGUUUUCGCAUUCGCUCAGACUGCACUGACUGAUCGGGUUUCGUUUGGCCUCCGGCGGGGGGGGGGGUAGCCCGGGGGCGUCCCCCGCCGAAGCAACGCGGUGGGUAAGCAAGGGUUGGGAGUUUGGGGGGUUUCCCCCCCUAGACCCGGUAAUGAUCCUUCCGCAGGUUCACCUACGGAAA